UGACACAUUCCUAAUCGAUCAAUGAGCAGAUUCUGCUCUCCUGUUUGCAGGAAUGACCAGUGCAGCUCUGGAGACAUCAGAAGAGAAAAAUCUCAUGAGUUACACUGGAAAUAGUGGGAUCAUACUCAGGCUUGUGACAUCCUGACUCACUGGACUUGUAAUCUGAUUAUACGGGUGUUUUUGGAAGCCCUGUGUAGUAUGUCCUGCCCUGCUCCAGCAUUUUGUCUCUGGGGAUCACCCAGUUUGUUGCUUCACAGACACCCUUGGGGUUUGGAAACUGCCCACUUGUGACGGAUGGAAACAGUGAGGCGUCUUCCAAAACUUUCCAUCGAUUUUGAGCAUUUGAGUCCAAAAAAUGGAGAUGCAGUAAACGUUCCUCUUUCCAAAUAAAGCCUGGGGAAGCUCUGGGCCCAAAGCAUUUUCUGCAAAACAAGCACGUGGUGUCUUAAGGUGCACAUCCAAGAUCUGUGUUUCUUUAUACGUAGUGGCAUAGGUGACUAGGUCGAAAGCGUAACACUCAGAUAAUCUAUACCUUCUCUAUGUUUUUAGCCACAAUAGCACCCUGUCCUCUGUUUACUGGCACUCUGCUAGACACCAAGAAAGCUAGUACAAGUGUUUCCCUAUCUCAAAAGUUAUCACGUUCCUGUGUAAAAGGUAUCUUUUUAAAGUGUAUCUAAAAGAAAUCGCAUUUUGGAGGGUGAAUCUAGAAGAGCCUCUCUGGUGUUUGAAGAAAGCUGGGGAUAGAAGAGACAUUUGCUGGGAGAGCAGCUCUGGAGCUAAACAAGUUUUUGAACUAGGAAAGCUCCUCUUACACACUCCUGCUAGUCAGACAGAAUGUGCUCAUGUUCGUUGGUCAUUCUGGAGCCUUGAAAGCAAGGCAGCGUCUGGUAAAUUCAUUCCCAGAUGCUGGGGGAACAAGGGAUUGUGGGAGACAGUGUAAGAUGGGGAGGGAUUUACUGCAGAACAGAGAAAAAGCAAAUCAAUGAAAGUUUGUUCAGCCUUACUUCCCUUUUGGUUUUUUGUUGUUUUAUUUUUAAGUGAAGCUGCAGUAGGAGAAAUUUUGGGAUUUUAUGCUUGUGUUGCUUUAAGGACAGGAAUGCUGGAAACAGAGGUAUUUGAUACCUUUGCUGCUAAUUACAGUGCAAGCUCCCAGUGUCCUGACAAUGCCCUUGUCCCUGACCUGGAGGGGCCUCACUAUCUCAGGGUCAGCUGUAAUUUAGUUUUAGGUCAGAGCUGGGACUCUCCUGCCAAACUAACUGCACUUUGUUUUGAAGUAGAAACCAUUUACUAGCAAGUCUGAGACCAUCAAACUCAUUUCACUAACGAGAAACAGGAAUGAACUGCAGAGCCCCAGAGACGAAGGUCAGUGUUCAACACAAGGAGAGCUCAGCUGCCUCACGAAGGAAGGGGCUGUUUCGCCCACCGAGCCACACAACCGCGUGAGCUCAGAUCUUCUGCUCCCUUCAAUUAAGCACGUUUAUUACAAAAAAAACUUAGGGACCAACUAAGCCCUGCCAGUCCCCGAGCAGGCACAACGGUGCAGUCAGCCCCCCACCUUACAGAGUUUACAACACAGUUGCUGCAUUUCACAGCAGGCUCAAGAAAAAGGACCGAGCUCCUCAGUAAAGCUCAUGAGUUGUUGGUGCUGCUCCUACCUCUUCUCACAGAUUGGCCGGGUGAUUUGGGCCAAGAAAACUCUGGUUUUCUACUUGAAAACUGAGGUGUUUCUUCCCUAUCUGAAGAAAAAAAUGCUUUGAGGUCUUCAGAGAGAACAUGCUGCAGAAAAUAACCCAAAAGCUGUAAAGGGAAAUACUUUUUAACUUCCUCCGAAUAAUCAGCACUCUCUAACUCACAGGGAAUGAAGUAUUUUUUUCAAACCAACAGAUUUUUAUCCGAUCUUCUUCCCCCUCACCAUAUUCAUGGACAGAGAUUAUACUGUCAUGAUACCGCAUAGCAUUACCUGAAAUUAACUUGUCACUUAAAGAACCGUUCUCUACAAUUUGUGGGGUAGUCUGAGAGCCCAGUACAUUUUGCCUAUUUUCAGAGUCCCUGCUCUUUUGCAUUUAUGUAGACCUAGGACUGGGUUUGCUAAGGAAAAACCUAUCCAGAGCACAAAUUUUUUUCAAUUCUGCACAUCACUGCAACAAGAGGCCAACUUGCACUUACAGGAAAAAAGCUGGAUGAAAAAUUUGUGCCAGUUUACUAAACAGUAAAAGUCUUUUGACAGCAAAGGAGGGUUCGGUGUCCAAAUCUAUGAGCACACGGAUGAGACAGACAAGUAGAGACCCAAACAUGCUCUUUGGGAACAGUAAAACAUAUUUAGCUCUAGAUGCUGGCCACAGUUAAGGUUAGCGAUCAGAUGCGAGAGAGCACAGCUAUAGCAAGAAAACAGGACCACUAAGGGAUGUUCAAAUCUUUCUUUCAUAAAAGUUGACUAGAAGACUGCAACACACCCUGAUGUGCGCUAAUGCUUGCUGCCAUGCUUGACAGCUGCAAGGCAGUGUGGUGGAAAGAAUUACCAGCCCUACAGACUUUCAGAUGAGUUCAAAAUGUAAUACCCCCGUUGUCAGACACCACAGGUUCCUAACUACAUGUAAACCCAAAUCGCUUCUCUCACCAUUGGUGCCUCUGCAAAUAGCAAAUCAGCUUCCAAGAGCUCAUCUUAAUUGCCAGAGCUCUUUGUGGGAAAGGUCCCAGCUACCCAAGAGCUGGGUACCUCCUUCAUGACUCCCUGAGAAAGCCACGUGUUUCAGGAGUGAUGCAACUGCCGUGUACCAGAACAAGGCUCCGGAGCAGAGCAGAUAGCUUCCUUGGCAGCUGGCCUGCAGUGCUGGAGCUUGCUCCCAGGAGAGAUUAGAGGGAGUAAAAACCUCACUGCCAUCAGAGCAGAGCACUCAACCUGCUUCUACCAGAGAUUUCUCACAAGAGCAAAAAAAUCCAAAAGUGUCACCACAAAUAGGAGGCUGCGGGAACAGGGAAAAGAUAACCCAGUUAAUGUCAUGCAUACAGCUUUGCUAACAGCUCAGGUAACACUGAUCGGUAAAGGACAGGCAAAAGCUCUGAGCAGAGCCUGUUUUACACUGGGAAGAUUACCUGACUAACAUCUCGACAGAGAAUUGCCUCCCUACAUAAAGCCCCCCAAAACCCCGACCUGCAGCUACAAACCUUUCAGGGCACGGUAGAGGACAGCUACCCUCAGGUUCCCAGGUAGCACAAUUUAUACCCCGAGGCAAAUGCAAGUACAAACUACUUGCACUCACUUAGACUUUGUGUGCUUUUGGACUCCCCUGCUACUUCAGGUGUCACCACAUCCGCGUAACCCCAACAGCAAAGAGGAAAGGAGAGGGUUUUCACUGGUUUCAAGGAAGGCUGAGCUCUACCCAUAGACAAGGUAAUUUUCUGUCUGCGCACAGAGGACUCUGCACAGAUGAGCGAGCUGUUUCCCAAGGGCACAGCAGAGCCCCUUCGGAGACAGCUCCCAAGGCUGGAGCUCCUGUGCUGCAGAGAACGCUGUGGGCUCACCCCCCAGCCCAGCAGACUCCUGGGGAGAGGGCCAUAAUGACCAUGGACUGCCCAGUUGACCAUAGGGAGGUCAUCUCCAGUCCUCUGCUCCCCCGCCACCGAGGUAGGGCUCUGCAAGGUGGAGCACGGAGCUCUGGGCAGGGCUGCGUGGGCGGCAGCCCAGCCUGGGAACUCAGGAGCAGCAAGGAAGGAGAGGAUGCUGGAGUGGAAGUGAUUUGAAUUAGAACAAACUGGCUGCUGAAUAGAAGCUUUUAUUCCAGCAUGGAGAAGGCUUUGUUAGUCAAGCACAUGUGAUGCACAAAAGCCUCCACUUGAAUUCAUUGAGUUUUAAUUGGUUCUCAGGUGGGGGAGGAGAUGGGUGUUAGGAAUUAGGGAUUCCUUAAAGAGGCAAUAUCAUUAAAUCUUAACGCCUCUUCCCUCUCACCCCCAGUUUCGGCUUAGGAGUCUGGCCUCAUUCAAUUGUCCUAUGUUAGAGAAUCAGAAAAACUGAGGGAGAGAAAGGGUGGGAGGGGGAGUCACUAAUAAAGCCUAAAGGGAGAUCAAUGAACGAGGAGGGUGAGGGGCAGGAGGAAGACUGAAAAAAGAAAGCGGCUGGUUGGAAGAGAGAGGAGGGAGGUCACACACAGGCAGGGAAGGCAAGAGAACCUCAAAGGGAUGAGGGAAAGAGAAUGAUGCCAUUUGAGUUGGGGCUUUCUUUUCUCCCUGCAUUCCUUCUUUUAUUGAACACUUAAAACUUCCCUUGGAGAUCCUCUAGCUUGGCUCUGUGAGCCUGUGCUCCAAAAUAACAGAGUUGAUCCAUCACAAGAAAAGAAGCAAAUUCUGGGAUGGGUAUGCGGUGCUUGCGCAUGGGGAAUGACAGCAGUAAGAGAAACCUGCUUGGGAGGACCUCGCAAGAGCUGCUGCUUGUUUUGCCAGACACAGCACGUUUCAGACAGAAGUUUUGUUACUAAGAGCCUGACGCAGACGUAGCUGAAAUCAAGGUCCUUGUGAGUCAAAGAGAAAGGGAGCAAUCGGGAGCUAAGGAGAUUUCACAGUCGGCAUUGUAGGAGGUACAGCACGCUGCCCAGCUUACGAAAGGGACCCUGGGUACCUGCAAGCCAGACCCUGACAGACAACUGCUACGCUGCAAUGGGGGACACACAUCUCACAAAUGUAUAAUGAUUUCCAUCAGUCCAGUACAUCAUCGGAGAAUGAAUUAAUGUUGGUUUACCUAUUACAUUUGGAAUUUAGAUAGGUAAGUGAAUGAUGUACCAAACGCACUGCCAGCAAACACCAACUGGAACGCAUUUUCUUUUAGAGUUCCUAACAGAAGAAUGCUGCUUCUAUAUUUAAGCCAUACAGUUUAUCCUGUAUAAAGCCAUACAUAGCAGAUAUUCUUUGCAGGAAGCACUGCCUACUGUUUUACUAUAAUUCUUCAUUACAAAAUUAGACUGCGCAAUCUCUGCUUGUAGACACAAUGGCACUAAUCUCCCGCAAAACAGGGGCACUGCAACCAAUUGCUAUAUGGACUGAAAUGGGAGGUCUCCGACUUCUGUUCGAGGACAGUGUGGGAUGCUGAAAACAGCAUUCCCAUGGUGGCUUCUCUCUGAGAGACUGCCUGAUUGGAGUCACUUACUGUGGUGUGAAAUCUGAAGGAAACGCAAGAUCCUCCGCUGACACAGCUGUGGUAUGGGGUAGCUCUCACAUACACGUGGGUUAUUCAUUUAUUUUAGAGCACGGG